AGAAAACCCAUGAGGCCUCUCCAAAAAACUACCUGACCUAAUAAGUGAUUUUGGCAAAAUAGCAGGAUACAAAGUCAACAUUCAGAAAUUGAUGGCAUUUUUAUAUACCAAAAAUGAAAUAUCAGAAAGAGAAACCAGGGUAAAAAUCCCAUUUACUACAGCAAUGAGAA